AUGGACAUAUCACAUUGAAACACUGGUUCUCGUCCGAUCACCGAAGUUAAGCAACGUCGAGCCUGGUCAGUACCUAGAUGGGAGACCAUUGCGAAUACCCGGUGCUGUAAG